UUUUAAUAGUUUAAAAAAAACAUUGGUCUUGUAAAUCAAAAAUAAAAUACAUAUAUUUUUUAAAACU
rnacentral:tRNA from 1 species